UACGAAGGGGGCUAGCGUUGUUCGGAAUUACUGGGCGUAAAGGGCGCGUAGGCGGUGUGUCAAGUCAGGCGUGAAAGCCCUGGGCUCAACCCAGGAAGUGCAUUCGAAACUGGCGCGCUUGAAUAUGGAAGAGGGUCGCGGAAUUCCCGGUGUAGAGGUGAAAUUCGUAGAUAUCGGGAGGAACACCAGUGGCGAAGGCGGCGACCUGGGCCAAUUAUUGACGCUGAG
rnacentral:rRNA from 1 species